rnacentral:rRNA from 1 species
AAUGGGGGAAACCCUGACCCAGCAACGCCGCGUGAGGGAAGAAGGUUUUCGGAUUGUAAACCUCUGUUCUUGGAGAAGAGGAGAAGACGGUAUCCAAGGAGGAAGCCCCGGCUAACUACGUGCCAGCAGCCGCGGUAAUACGUAGGGGGCGAGCGUUGUCCGGAAUGAUUGGGCGUAAAGGGCGCGUAGGCGGCCAGGCAAGUCAGUAGUGGAAGUCCAAUUUUCAAGGUUGGAAGUGCUAUUGAAACUGCAGGGCUUGAGUGCAGGAGAGGUUAUCGGAAUUCCCGGUGUAGCGGUGAAAUGCGUAGAGAUCGGGAGGAACACCAGUGGCGAAGGCGGGUAACUGGACUGCAACUGACGCUGAGGCGCGAAAGUGUGGGGAGCAAA